AAACAGAGAGCUAACAAAUUAUAUAACAGUGUGUAGCAGCUGUACGUGGUGGGGAGGUAUAUAACAGUGUGUCAUCAGCUGUACGUGGUGGGGAGGUAUACAAACAGAGCAUAACAAGUUAUAUAACAGUGUGUAAUCAGCUGUACAUGGUGGGGGGUAUACAAACAGAGCAUAACAAGUUAUAUAACAGUGUGUAAUCAGCUGUACGUGGUGGGGAGGUAUACAAACAGAGCAUAACAAGCUUAUAUAACAGUGUGUAAUCAGCUGUACAUGGUGGGGAGGUAUACAAACAGAGCAUAACAAGUUAUAUAACAGUGUGUAAUCAGCUGUACGUGGUGGGGAGGUAUACAAACAGAGCAUAACAAGUUAUAUAACAGUGUGUAAUCAGCUGUACAUGGUGGGGAGGUAUAUAACAGUGUGUAAUCAGCUGUACAUGGUGGGGAGGUAUAUAACAGUGUGUCAUCAGCUGUACAUGGUGGGAAGGUGUCAUCAGCUGUGCAUGGUGGGGAGGUAUAUAACAGUGUGUUAUCAUCUGUACAUGGUGGGGAGGUAUAUAACAGUGUGUCAUCAGCUGUACAUGGUGGGGAGGUAUAUAACAGUGCGUAAUCAGCUGUACAUGGUGGGGAGGUAUGUAACAGUGUCAUCAGCUGUACAUGGUGGAGAGGUACAUAACAGUGUGUCAUCAGCUGUACAUGAUUGUGAGGUAUAUAACAGUGUAUAAUCAGCUGUACAUGGUGGGGAGGUAUAUAACAGUGUGUCAUCAGCUGUACAUGGUGGGGAGGUAUAUAACAGUGUGUCAUCAGCUGUACAUGGUGGGGAGGUAUACAACAGUGCGUAAUCAGCUGUA